rnacentral:snRNA from 1 species
UCCGCUUAUCAGCCUUUUGGCUAAGAUCAAAGUGUUAUACGUCCUAAUCAGAUUAAUAUCCUAUACGAAGACUAUUUGUCCUCGAUAUUAGACUCAUUUAUGUUCAAGGGUGGGUGUGCAGUGCUUCUGCUGUCUCCACUAUGAGUUCACCUGGUUUUACAGUACCUCCAGGGGAAAAAAAUAUGU